rnacentral:misc_RNA from 1 species
GAUGAAGAACGUAGCGAAAUGCGAUAAGUAAUGUGAAUUGCAGAAUUCAGUGAAUCAUCGAAUCUUUGAACGCACCUUGCACCCUUUGGCAUUCCGAAGGGUAUGCUCGUUUGAGUGUCAUUGUACUCUCACACUUCUGAUCCUUUGGAUUGGGAGCGGUGGACUUGGGUGUUGCUGCUUUACUGUGACUCACCUCAAAUGCAUUCGUGCAACUCUUGGUUGGACAUAGUACGGCGUGAUAAGUAUCUUCGCCGGCACCUCGCAAGAGGGUGGCUGAUCAGGAGCUCUGUGCUUUCCAACUGUCUUCAGACAACAACUGACAACUUGACCUCAAAUCGAGUAGGACCACCCGCUGAACUUAAGCAUAUCAAUAAGCGGAGGA